UACGUAGGGGGCAAGCGUUAUCCGGAAUUACUGGGUGUAAAGGGAGCGUGGACGGCUGUGCAAGCCAGAUGUGAAAGCCCGGGGCUCAACCCCGGGACUGCAUUUGGAACUGUGUGGCUGGAGUGUCGGAGAGGCAGGCGGAAUUCCUAGUGUAGCGGUGAAAUGCGUAGAUAUUAGGAGGAACACCAGUGGCGAAGGCGGCCUGCUGGACGAUGACUGACGUUGAGGCUCGAAAGCGUGGGGAGCAAACAGG
rnacentral:rRNA from 1 species